GUGCCUGUCUCCUCCAGGGUCACUCAACACACCCAAGACUGUGACACAGAUAGGCUAGCCUCCUUCUCCCUCUUUCCACCCUGUCUUUAGGAUCAUCUCCAGACAUCGAAGGGCAUCAUUAUCACGGAUAAGAACACAGAUGCUGGGGCUGGAGAGAUGGCGCAGAGGUUAAGAGCUGGCACUAAUCUUUCAGAGGACUGGAGUUUGGUUCCCAUCCCCAUGUUGGGCAGAUCAUGACAGCCUGUGACUACAGCUUCAGAGGGCCUAGAACCUUCUUCUGGAGACCCUGCAUGCACUGCCUUCAUGUGCUCCUUCCCCCAAGACACAAAAAUUAAUAACAACAACAACAACAACAAAAAACCCACAGUCACUGGUUCUGUGUGGUUUCCCCAGGGAGGAGCCUCUGGGCUUCAGUCCAUAUCUGUGAAAUGGGUUAAUGAGAACACCUUUGUCCUGGACACUGAAAAGGCCUUCCUAACCGUCUCUGGUGACAACAGGACAGGAACAUCACAGCUGUUUAUGUGCUAUGAUUUCCUGUGUGUGCACACAGGAAUAAGACCCUCUUGCCUUGCCCACAAACCACUCUUCACUCUUGGGAUGACCUUGCUCCAGCUGGGAUCAGAAGUUCUAGAGCAUUCUGGGUAUGAAAUCAAGGCCUGUGGGGAAAAUUUUAGCACCCAGUGUCUGCCCCGGUGUGCUUAGUGUCACCCCCAUAAGCGUUGACUUCACUAUCCCCCGUGUCCUGACUCCUAUAAAGAUGUUGAAUAAGCUCUGAGGUUUCCUGCCAGCUGAAAUGUGGUUCUCUCCUUCCACCACGUGGGGUCUGGGCUUGAGCUCAGCUUGUCAGGCUUUGGUGUAGUUAGCUUUACCCACUGAGCCAUCUUGCCACUCCUAUUGGUAUUUAUUCAUAAUUAUGUUAUUAAUGACAAGUCAUUUAUAUACCCAAGGUAUCAAAUGCUGGAUGCAAUGUCCAUGGUUAAUCAUGAGACAUUAUAAAUUAUUUUUCAAUAAUUUGGGCAAAAGUAGAAACUGAGAUUUAAUAUUUUUUCAUAUAUAUUUUAAAAUGUCUUAUAUGUUUGUAAAAUAUAUAAGGAACUUAUGGAACUGAAGAGUAAAGGGGGUUUAAAUAUGAACUUUCCUACAGAAGACAAAAUGGGUAGCAAGUACAGGAGAGAGCUCCCAACUUCAUCACCACCGGGAAAAUGCAAAAUGCAACCAUGAGAUGCCACCUCUCAAACAUAAGGAUGACGAAAUGCAGAAGUCAAGUGGGUGAAGCUGUGCCCUCUUACAGAACUAGAUAAAGACAUUGUGAACACCGGGCGCGGGGGCUUCGUAGAAAGCUAAAAGUAGGAUUGCCGUAUGAUCCAGCAAGCUCACUUCUGGAUAGAGCAAAGGAAGUGAAGUCACAGACAACCGCUUUAUGCUUAUAUGUUGCAGUGUUAUAAUUGCUAGCAAUUUGCCUGAGAUGUGCCAACUGAUCCAGAUGAAAUCAGGCUACACACGUACAAUAGAAGGGAAUGUGCUUCAGCCUUGUAAGAGGCAGUCCUGACGUCUAUGAGUGAACAUGGAAGACAAAUAUGCCCCUCAGGGAAAGCGACACAUACAAGUUUGUCUAGAGAACUAGAAUAUUCUUUCUUGUGGAAAGAAAGGCCAUUUCCCAGGAGAGCUAAUGACCAGGAUGCGAAAUGACAUCUGGUGAUCGCGCAGCUGCGGAUUGUUGAAUCCAAAGCAAUAAAAGGAUCUAGAAAUGUGAGCCA
rnacentral:lncRNA from 1 species